UGUCCUGACCAGUUUUUUCUUCCACAGAAAUAUAUGCCUGAAUUGGCUAGUCUCUUCUCUCAUGUGCUUGUUGAUGUUAGCAGCAUCAGGGCUCUAUGCGUCCGCUGGUAUUUUAAAGAUUAUAAAAAGGCCCCCUCAAAGCAAAAGACCCAUAGGGCAAUGGAUGACAUUAGAGAAAGCAUAAUGGAGCUCAAAUACUACAGGGAGAGUAUAUUCAAAGCAAAGACCAAGAAAUGAUGCUGAUAAUUAUGCCACCUUGCAGAUUGCAGAUUCUUAUGUGGAAUGGUUCAUUUUUACAAUUACCUUCCACACCAUAUCAGCUUUUGUCCCAAAAGUUUUCAGGCUUCUGUAGUUGGCGUGUGUAAUAUUGGUUUUCUUUAAUUUUUCAUCAUUAUAGAUUUCACACAAUCGGUCGGCUUUGUAACAAUGGAUCUAGUUUUGGCAGUGUGGGGGGUGUGUUAUACUCCAUUAUAAACACUCUUAAAAUCAAAUUUUCAUGUUCUUUA